GAUGAACGCUGGCGGCGUGCCUAAUACAUGCAAGUCGAGCGAACAGACGAGGAGCUUGCUCCUCUGACGUUAGCGGCGGACGGGUGAGUAACACGUGGAUAACCUACCUAUAAGACUGGGAUAACUUCGGGAAACCGGAGCUAAUACCGGAUAAUAUAUUGAACCGCAUGGUUCAAUAGUGAAAGACGGUUUUGCUGUCACUUAUAGAUGGAUCCGCGCCGCAUUAGCGAGUUGGUAAGGUAACGGCUUACCAAGGCAACGAUGCGUAGCCGACCUGAGAGGGUGAUCGGCCACACUGGAACUGAGACACGGUCCAGACUCCUACGGGAGGCAGCAGUAGGGAAUCUUCCGCAAUGGGCGAAAGCCUGACGGAGCAACGCCGCGUGAGUGAUGAAGGUCUUCGGAUCGUAAAACUCUGUUAUUAGGGAAGAACAAAUGUGUAAGUAACUAUGCACGUCUUGACGGUACCUAAUCAGAAAGCCACGGCUAACUACGAG
rnacentral:rRNA from 1 species